rnacentral:rRNA from 1 species
GACGAGCGCUGGCGGCGUGCUUAACACAUGCAAGUCGAACGGAAAGGCCCUGCUUUUGUGGGGUGCUCGAGUGGCGAGCGGGUGAGUAACACGUGAGUAACCUGCCCUUGACUUUGGGAUAACUUCAGGAAACUGGGGCUAAUACCGGAUAGGAGCUCCUGCUGCAUGGUGGGGGUCGGAAAGUUUCGGCGGUUGGGGAUGGACUCGCGGCUUAUCAGCUUGUUGGUGGGGUAGUGGCUUACCAAGGCUUUGACGGGUAGCCGGCCUGAGAGGGUGACCGGCCACAUUGGGACUGAGAUACGGCCCAGACUCCUACGGGAGGCAGCAGUGGGGAAUAUUGCACAAUGGGCGGAAGCCUGAUGCAGCAACGCCGCGUGCGGGAUGACGGCCUUCGGGUUGUAAACCGCUUUCGCCUGUGACGAAGCGUGAGUGACGGUAAUGGGUAAAGAAGCACCGGCUAACUACGUG